AUAGGGUGAGAAAGUAUAAGUGUAACUGUCCGCUUAUCAUUGUGGAUCUUGUUCAGCACUUACUGCUGAGUGGAACCUUUCUGCCUCCCUUUGGUUCCCUGGGGAAUGUUUUGAUCAGCAGGAUUACAAGACCACUCCUUCUUCCUGUCUUAGAAAGAAAGCCUUUUCCUGUAUCUCAGAUGCCACAUGUUAGCUGUCUGCAUAGGAUUUCAUGGAAGAUGUCUGCAGAAAAUCCCUAAAGCUUAAAGUUUGUACCCCCCUUGGCAAGUGGAUCGAGGUAUGCAGAAAAGUGUGCAUUGUUAUAAAGGUGUAUAUGUUCUAGAGAUAAACCCUGUUCAUGCUGUUUGGUUUUAAAUACGCUAUAUGAUCCAAGACACUUUGCAUGUAACCAUGUUUCUUUGAAUGUUCAACGUAAUUAGAUGUGUGUGCAGACAACUGUAAUUAACCCUGUAACCCCCUUUUUGGUGACAACUGUAAAUAAGUGUUUUAUAUGUCAUUUACAGUUUUCACGGUGCUAUGGUGCUAUGGUGCUAUGGUGCUUACGAUAUUCAUGUUUACGGUGCUCAAGGAGAUAAAGAAAACAAUAUUCAAUCCUGCUGCGCACCUUUGUUCCGAAAGAAUAAAACUACUGCACCCGUCAGAAGCUCUCCUCUUGUUAUUUAUUCGAUGCCAAAGGGGCCGUAACAGUGAAAACUCGUCGCUGCGGUGGAGACUCGACAUCACCAGCUGCGUCGCUGUCUUCAUCGAACUAAAGAAAGCCUUUUCCUGUAUCUCAGAUGCCACAUGUUAGCUGUCUGCAUAGGAUUUCAUGGAAGAUGUCUGCAGAAAAUCCCUAAAGCUUAAAGUUUGUACCCCCCUUGGCAAGUGGAUCGAGGUAUGCAGAAAAGUGUGCAUUGUUAUAAAGGUGUAUAUGUUCUAGAGAUAAACCCUGUUCAUGCUGUUUGGUUUUAAAUACGCUAUAUGAUCCAAGACACUUUGCAUGUAACCAUGUUUCUUUGAAUGUUCAACGUAAUUAGAUGUGUGUGCAGACAACUGUAAUUAACCCUGUAACCCCCUUUUUGGUGACAACUGUAAAUAAGUGUUUUAUAUGUCAUUUACAGUUUUCACGGUGCUAUGGUGCUAUGGUGCUAUGGUGCUUACGAUAUUCAUGUUUACGGUGCUCAAGGAGAUAAAGAAAACAAUAUUCAAUCCUGCUGCGCACCUUUGUUCCGAAAGAAUAAAACUACUGCACCCGU